rnacentral:rRNA from 1 species
AUGCACGGGACGUGGUGGCCGGACCUCCUGCCGGAACUGCUCCGAGAGGUCUCCUGCCGUCUGCACGUCGGCGCCGACUUCAUCCGUUUCCACGCCGUGUGUAAGCCAUGGCGCGACUCACACGGACCAUCGACGACGACGGGGGCUGGUCAGUUCCUGCCGUGGCUCCUGGUGCCCAUCAAGAAGAGCGGGGACUCCCUCAAUUUCAGAUGCGUCUUCUCCAACACAAGCUACGUCGCGCCGCCGGCCAUAUCUGGUGGCAGUGGCACCGGGAUGAACUGGGUGGCCAGCGCCGACGGCACCACCGUCCGCUACUUCACCGCCUUCGAACCUCACGGCCUAACCCUCCACGACCCUCUCGCCGAAGGCCCCCCCACCCACCUGCCUGGCGAGAACGUCCUCCGCCGGUUGGAGGAGAAUCCCGCAGGCAUCAUCUACAACAACGGGGCCGUCCUUCUGUUCAGCAAACACGACAGCUUCGACACAACUACCGCCGAGUUCAGGGCGGCGCUCCUGCGUCCUGGUGACACCGAGUGGAUGUUUGUCCACAGGACUCUCGAAUCCCCCUUCGACGGAGCGUUCUGUGUCGCCUAUCACAACGGCAAGAUCCAUGUGACCGUUGAGGACAGCCUCUGGCAGGUCGUGAGCGUGACAGGGGAGUCCACAGCCGCAACCAACAACGACGACGUACAGGUUCCUAGGCCACGGUCGAUGCCACGCCAGUGUGACGGCUACUUGUACGAGCGCAGCUAUGUGCUCGAGUCCCGCGGGGAGCUGCUGUGGGUGUCGGUGCACAUUUUGAUGCAUUACCCCGAUCAAGGUAAGAAUGGCGUCAAUGACCUCGUCGAUGCACUCUCGAUGUCCAUGCACACGCUUGAGGAGGUCACCAAGGAGCCGGAAAAGUUGUUGUGGACGAGGAAGGAUGGCCGGAGCCUGGAGGACCGCGUGUUGUUCCUGGGGUGGCCCAAUAGUUUCGCCCUGGACGCGUCCCGUCUCGGCAUGAGCGGUGGGUUCGCCUACUUCUUGUACUACGACGACCAGGGCGGCUGCCGGUUGCACGAGCGACAUGGCGUGUUCAGGCACAACCUCAUCGACAACACGACAGAGUUUGUCGAGUGGCUGCCCCAAGGAUGGGACAAGGAGAUGUGUGUGUGGCUCCUCCCCCAGCUCACAAUUGCUCCAGUCAACCAGGGUCCAGCUACUACUUCAAGAAGCAAUAAAACUUGUGCUUGGGUGCUGGUGUCCAACCUACCUCUC